rnacentral:misc_RNA from 1 species
GAUGAAGAACGUAGCGAAAUGCGAUAAGUAAUGUGAAUUGCAGAAUUCAGUGAAUCAUCGAAUCUUUGAACGCACAUUGCGCCCGCCAGUAUUCUGGCGGGCAUGCCUGUUCGAGCGUCAUUUCAACCAUCAAGCCCCCGGCUUGUGUUGGGGACCUGCGGCUGCCGCAGGCCCUGAAAAGCAGUGGCGGGCUCGCUGUCACACCGAGCGUAGUAGCAUACAUCUCGCUCUGGGCGUGCUGCGAGUUCCGGCCGUUAAACCACCUUCAUAACCCAAGGUUGACCUCGGAUCAGGUAGGAAGACCCGCUGAACUUAAGCAUAUCAAUAAGCGGAGGA